rnacentral:rRNA from 1 species
GACGAACGCUGGCGGCGUGCUUAACACAUGCAAGUCGAACGGAAAGGCCCUGCUUUUGUGGGGUGCUCGAGUGGCGAACGGGUGAGUAACACGUGAGUAACCUGCCCUUGACUUUGGGAUAACUUCAGGAAACUGGGGCUAAUACCGGAUAGGAGCUCCUGCUGCAUGGUGGGGGUUGGAAAGUUUCGGCGGUUGGGGAUGGACUCGCGGCUUAUCAGCUUGUUGGUGGGGUAGUGGCUUACCAAGGCUUUGACGGGUAGCCGGCCUGAGAGGGUGACCGGCCACAUUGGGACUGAGAUACGGCCCAGACUCCUACGGGAGGAAGCAGUGGGGAAUAUUGCACAAUGGGCGGAAGCCUGAUGCAGCAACGCCGCGUGCGGGAUGACGGCCUUCGGGUUGUAAACCGCUUCCGCCUGUGACGAAGCGUGAGUGACGGUAAUGGGUAAAGAAGCACCGGCUAACUACGUG